AAUCACAAUAACUCAGUCGGUGUAGAGAUGAGAAAGAAUUAAUUAUCGCACACUUAACCGGUUAGAAGGUGAAAAGGAGAACCAAUCGGCUAAGCAAUGAGAAUUUACCUCAACAUCAUAAAAAAUGCAAUUAGAUGUACCUCUAUCCAUGCGAAAGGAAAUGUAUGCUUCCAUCAGGUACCAGCCCCAGAUCCAAAGCCUUAAGACAGCUUGCAUAAUCCAGUAGACUUGAGAAUUAAUUAGGGGUGAUCGCUUAAUGUGCACGCUAUAUGAAAUCCGCUUAAUUACCGGUUGUAUUUUAAAUUUCCCCAGCACAUGGAGCCCGCGAAGUAGAGGUCGCUAACCCACAGAUCCAAUUAACUAAUUGAACUAUCUGAUCCGGGCAACUUCGUCGAAAAGAAGAUUUAAUGAGCUUUAUAUAUGAGGGUCCAUGCUGCCGGAAUCAUCAGUUGUGUGAUUUGAUCGAGGCCAAUGAAGUAUAGCUCAUAUAGCGUGGACAAAUUCUCGAGCUCGAGUUUUUUGCUGUGCAUCGUAUGGUGCAGUGCACAGCACACCGUUCAUCAUAUGAUGGACAGUCGUGCAUAGAUACAUGUCCGUUGUGCACAACUGCAGCCAUCCAUCGCACGAUAAACAGAACGUACUAUGCACCGCACGAUGCGAUGCACAGCAGAGGAUCCGUGCAGC
rnacentral:lncRNA from 1 species